UUUACCAUCUUAGACUCAGACACGAUUUACUAGGUACCUUUCUUCAGUUAAAUCGUCUUUAAUGAAUGACCAAUAAAUUGAGUUGAGAGUAAAAAUCAACUUUGAUAUGUAAGUAAUUUUAACAUUCUUUUUAUCUUUAGCUCAUUGAAAACAACAGCAACAGCAGCAACAAAAACAACAGAUGCUUCACCAGGCCAGAAUAAAUAAGAUCAUCUAACAGUUUUGGUGAUUAUCAAUAGAACUGCUAUCAACAUUCAGGUCAAGGCUUUUGUGUGAGCGUAAAUUAACAACGCACUGAGAAUGGGAUGGCUGAGUCACAUAGUCUCCAUUUGUGAAGUUUUGAUUAAUGGCUAAAGCUGAAUAUCCCCACGUUACUCUGCACCUAGGAGGUAAUGACUCCAAAAUACUAUAAAGAUAAAGUUGAACAGAAGUUGAGUGUGAGCAGACCACCUCAAUGUAGAUAAGACAUCAGCUCUGUCAGUCCCCCAGAUCAUGGGGUAGGUAACUACUUUGUUUCUAUUUUCCAAGUUACAUCUUACUAAUACCAGUUAACUAGAAUUUGAUCAACA